CACGACUUCUAAAAAGUCAGACUGCUUUCAUAUUUAAGUUCCCCUGUGUUCCUGUACACAGAACCCUUUUUCCAUCAGCACAUCAAAGCCUGGUAUAAGUACAACAUGUCAUGAGAAUUCAGAUUCUUUCCUGCUUCCCUGUGGAGACAGGAUUACAGACAUCCUCAGUUGCUACAGGAAGAGGGAAACAGUCCAGAAAGAGAGCUAAACAGAAAGCGUCGUGUGAGGGUUCUUCUGUUGAUUUUGUAAUUAUUAAGAAAAAUGUCAUUUCAUUUUUCUAACCAAGUGUCAUACACAGAAUAUAUAUCACAUGCAGUGUUUUAGUGAGUACAAAACCUGAACGCAAAGGGAUUUAAUUCCUUGUUGUAGUGAAUUUUAUGCAGCUUAAGUGAACUUCUAACAGUAUAAUUUAAAAACAAAUCAGAUCACUUCGCGAGCGGCGGCGGGUGACCGGAGGGGCACCCCAACCCCUGCGUGCACAGGUUUCCACCAGCCCGCAAGCGACAGCAUGGCAGCCAUCCCCUCCAGCGGCUCACUCGUGGCCACCCACGACUAUUACCGGCGCCGCCUGGGCUCCACUUCCAGUAACAGCUCCUGCGGAAGUGCGGAGUAUGCUGGGGAAGCCAUCCCUCACCACCCGGGUCUCCCCAAGGCCGACCCGGGUCACUGGUGGGCAAGCUUCUUCUUCGGGAAGUCCACUCUCCCGUUCAUGGCUACAGUGUUGGAGUGUCCAGAACGCUCGGAAUCUCCCCAGGCCUCCCCCGGCACGAUCACCUGCGACUUGGCUCUGGAAGCCAUGAGGAAGCAGCCUGGUGGCCAGCCUGGCAAAGCCAACACAGGGCCGCCAUCCUGAGUAGCCACCGCCAGGCUUCAGGAAGCGCUAGGCUCGUCAGAGCCCCUCCCCUCCCGUUCCCUCCCUUCCCCAUAGACUAGGCAGGCUGCCGCAAGCAGAAACAGUUGGGUUCUUUUAUAUCAAAAUAGCAAAACACCCAAAAGGAAGUUGAGAGGAUCCCACGCUUUACUCUCCAAGCCACAUGAAAGCCUUCCUCACACCCUGGAACCGUGUGCCUUGCACCAAGUGGAAAAUAAACUCCAAGCAGCCAAAAAAAAACCAAAUCAGAUCAUUUCAGGAUUGAUGCACUCACUGAACAAAAACGUUUACUACAUUCUGUGGAGAUUAGCAUUUUGUUUCACUUAGGCUUGAAUUCAGUUUCUCAGAUAGUUACAGUAACUUCACCCUCCAUAAAACCAUCUGGAAUGUGAAGGUCACUUUUACUUCCCUUCAUUUGUGACAGGAAACUCAAGAUAAGGACAGAGAAUAUCUCAAAUAGCACUCUAAAGGCCUAUAUAAGAAAUUUUUUUCGAAAAUCUUACUGCAUCUGUUGAUUAUCCACUCCACUAUAUUGGAGCAUAACAGAUAAGCAAAAAUGACCCAUUAUAAUAAUUAAACCUAGUUAAGGAGAGAGACUAAGGAAGAAUAAUUUGUUUCCAUUCAUCUUUGUUUUGGGAAAUAAAAGUCACUUCAUUAAUCUUGUAAUUACUUGGACAGUCUUAAAUUUCAUAAGAUUAGCCUCCAAAAGGAGCUCUCCUCUUUAGCCUCCAUUACUGUUUUCAUCUGUUUCUUCAUUUUAAUUCAAAACAAAUAAAAAUGUAUUCUUCAGCUUUUUACAGUAACAUAUUAUGAAAUUUAGGUGCCAAAAUAAUUCAUUUUAAUGAUGGAAAUUCUCAGCAAACCAGAAGGGGCCAAUCUUUUACUAGAGAAACGCUAUCCAACAAAACACAGUGAGAAUCUAAUCUGUAAUGGAAAAUUUAAUGAGGAAAAAAGCCAUACUUAAUGGAGACACAUGCUCUUCAAGGUUCUGAGCUAGACAAAGGAUAUCUGUUAUUAAUUAUAUUGUGUUACAGAGAGGUGACCAACGCCACCAGAAAAAGAAAUAUGGAAUUAGGGUUAGAAGAUACCAAAUUGUGAUUAUUUCAGAGUUGUAUGGUCAUUAGCAUAGACCACCUUAGGAAAUCAGCAAACUGUUAUAAGAAGAGAGUUGUGAA